rnacentral:rRNA from 1 species
GACGAACGCUGGCGGCGUGCUUAACACAUGCAAGUCGAACGGAAAGGCCUCAGCUUGCUGGGGUACUCGAGUGGCGAACGGGUGAGUAACACGUGGGUGAUCUGCCCUGCACUUCGGGAUAAGCCUGGGAAACUGGGUCUAAUACCGGAUAGGACCAUCGUUUAGUGUCGGUGGUGGAAAGUUUUUCGGUGCAGGAUGAGCUCGCGGCCUAUCAGCUUGUUGGUGGGGUAAUGGCCUACCAAGGCGUCGACGGGUAGCCGGCCUGAGAGGGUGGACGGUCACAUUGGGACUGAGACACGGCCCAGACUCCUACGGGAGGCAGCAGUGGGGAAUAUUGCACAAUGGGCGCAAGCCUGAUGCAGCGACGCCGCGUGGGGGAUGACGGCCUCGGUUGUAACGUAGCUUUAACUAGGAAGAAAUAGCUAUACGUGAUAUAGUACUGA